rnacentral:rRNA from 1 species
AUGAGAAGAGGGGGGGAAACAUCGCGAGAGCUUCUUCCUGGAGAAGCACCGCCGGGCAGCUGGUGCCAAGGCGGCGGCGGCGAAGCUAGACACACGCGAGCCACGGAGCCAACCCAGCUCAAUUGCAGCAUCCGAGAAUCCACCACGAGAAACAAUCCCGCGGCGCACAACGGUGCUAGAAUCAGGCAGAGGACGCAAUCUACACCGCCCAAAAAAAUCACAACAACAACAGCAGGACGGAGAAACAAGGAGCUUGAUUUGAACCGACCUCGGAAGGGAAUCCAAUCCGCACGCGCGCGCGCCGCCGCCUCCGAGGAUCGAGCGAGGGGGGCGAGGACCGAUCGGCGAGAUUGCGUCGCUGCGGUGCGGGCUGCGGGGGGUGGGGGGCGGGCGGAGGAAGAAGAUGAGGGAGGUUAA